rnacentral:rRNA from 1 species
UACGAAGGGGGCUAGCGUUGCUCGGAAUCACUGGGCGUAAAGCGCACGUAGGCGGAUCUUUAAGUCAGGGGUGAAAUCCUGGAGCUCAACUCCAGAACUGCCUUUGAUACUGAGGAUCUCGAGUCCGGGAGAGGUGAGUGGAACUGCGAGUGUAGAGGUGAAAUUCGUAGAUAUUCGCAAGAACACCAGUGGCGAAGGCGGACUCACUGGCCCGGUACUGACGCUGAGGUGCGAAAGCGUGGGAGCAACAGGGA